rnacentral:hammerhead_ribozyme from 1 species
AUCCGGCUGACGAGUCCCAAAUAGGACGAAACGCGCGUCCUGGAC